CGCAUCUUCAUAACGGAUGGGAGGUGGAUCAGGCGAUUUUAUCCGAAGAAGAUCGUGUUAUUGUUAUUCGUUUUGGACACGAUUGGGAUCCAAUGUGCAUGAAGACUGACGAAGUAUUGUACAACAUAGCUGAAAGAAAACAAGCAUAUUAUGAUUGAUUUGGGUACGGGUAACAACAAUAAGAUCAAUUGGGUUAUUGAAGACAAACAGGAGAUGAUUGACAUUGUUGAAAUUGUGUAUCGCGGGGCUAGAAAAGGCAGAGGUUUAGUUAUUUCUCCCAAAGAUUAUUCUACGAAAUAUCGAACUUAGAUAAUUUUUUUUUGGCGUAAAUAAUCAAGCUGAUGAUUGAGGUGAUGAAUAAUAUAGGAUCAACUCGAGAUAAAAAAGUGAUAAGAUAUCGCCCCUAGGAGUGAAAAAUAAUCUAAUCAUGUACUUGCAACUCAAUUAUCUGUAAAGAAGUAUACAAAUUCUAUUUGAUCUGUUAUGUAAAUUGAAAUGUUGUUGAAUGGAUUAAGUUAUCUCUUAGUUUGCUUUACUAAAGAUUGUGAAUUAUGUUGUUAUAUACUAGACAAUGUCGUAUUGACAUUGUACGAAAACAAUUGUAAAAUGAAAUAAAAAUCCGUUUGUUUUUAAAUUAUUUUUAAUUAUUUUUGAGAAAAUAGCCACAG